AGCUCCAAUAGCGUAUAUUAAAGUUGUUGUGGUUAAAAAGCUCGUAGUUGGAUUUCGGCGGGUAGUGGUUGGUUUGAAUUGAUUCAACACUGACUUUUUUACCCGUGUGUUUUGCCAGAAUCUUACGGGUGAUCUUGGAACUGGCAGGUUUACUUUGAAAAAAUUAGAGUGCUCAAAGCAAGCUUACUGCUUGAAUAGUUGCGCAUGGAAUAAUAGAAUAGGAAGUCGUUUCUAUUUUGUUGGUUUUCGGAAAUCGACUUAAUGAUUAAUAGGGAUAGUCGGGGGCAUUCGUAUUCAAACGACAGAGGUGAAAUUCUUGGACCGUUUGAAGACGAACUAAGGCGAAAGCAUUUGCCAAGAAUGUUUUCA
rnacentral:rRNA from 1 species